GCGGAGGAGGAGGGAUCGGGAGGAGCAGAGGAGGAGCAGAAAGCGCGGAGAAGGGAGGAAGAACCGGCAGUUUGGACCUCGGGCGGGCGGCGACUAGAGGUGGCGUACAGCGGUGGCCCGCGUGGGGUCCAAGCGCUCGGGGCAGGGCUGGGGUGGCGGCAGGAGGCGAUGUCCGGGAGCCGAGCGGGUGCCCUCAGGACGUUCCCUGCGCUGUCCCUCAGGACCCGGAGCUCGCGGACUCGAGCAGUUACUCAGUGACCCAGCCUCCGUGGAGCCAAAUUUGUACCAGGGUUCCCAUUUCCGCCUUUCGUCCCUCCAACCUGCGGAGCAAACUUGUACCAGCUCCAGGGCAAACUGGCCGAGCCUUAGGCCCAAGACCCGGUAACGGCAGGAAUGGAAAACCAUCCCUUUAUUCUGGCCCCCAACUCCUCCACAGCACCCCGGGACCCUAGUGGGGGUCAGAGGCUGGCCUGGCCACGCUGCACCCACGUGGCGGGAGUGCCAGGCUGCUGACAUGGGAACUCUCAAGUCUGAGGACCUUUCACAUCCCGUCGAGCAACCUAGAAAUCCGCUGGAAUGAGGGCACCCAACUCCUGGCUCAGAGACAGGCCUUGGAAAAUAUUAGUUGAAUGAAUGCAUGAGUACCGACAGAGUCCACAGCAUUUCGUAUCAACCAGCCACGGGGACCUGAAAAGCAAACGUGCUUGGUAAAUUACUUCGCAAACAACAGGGCUUCUAAUGAAGACAACACAAACGCUAGUGGAGACACACCUCUCUGCCACAACCAGGCCUCUCAAGCAGGAGGAAUGACGGGGAAAUUCACUAAGGGUUUGGCCAGAAGAAAUCAGAUGUUCUCUGGCAGCAGAAACUUGAGCGACAUUUCUUUUGCAGAGUACAGUCUCCUUCCUAGACCUGACAGAUACCUGCAGGCCCCAUUCUACAACUGGAUUCCCUCCUCUCCACACAAGAUUCACUAGUGACAUUCGGGUCUGAUCCAGCUCUGGCCUCCCCACUGUGACAGCCACUGAGCCUUCUGAACUCACUCAGCCCCUGGAUGGGGAAGGCUAUGAAGAUUCUGCAGGCCAUGUUUUAGUUCCCUCCACGUGUUCCAAACAAGGACUGAAAGCACUUUGCAAAGAAACACAACUACAGAAGCAUCCCAAACUGGAGGAGAGCAAACCGGAAACACCACAGGGGAACCUGGAAUGAAGCUGGAACGGCGUCUCACAGAAGAUUUGCACACAGCAAAGUUCGGUGCGUUUACUUAACAAGGCCACGGAUUUGACUCUAAGGCGUCUGUCAAGGAAAUAUGAUGGGUGGCACAAAUCAUAUUGUCCAUAGGUUAAAACACUAAUCAAUUGAAGCUACAACUAAUUUUUAAGACCGCAUAGCAAUUUCUUCCAGGGACUCCUCAAAAGAAGACAAUGUAUAAAGACUUCAGAAUUCUUAGUAGCCACCUUUUUGUAAUAGUACUAAGCUUUCUAGAGCUAUUUUGUUCCAAUGACCUUUGAUAUGAUAUGAUGGCAUCUCAGGAAGCAAAGCUUUAUGAAAACAAUUACUCGAGGAGGCAGUGGGACACUUCAGGCACACAAUCUGAUAUUGGGUUGAUCCCAAGUAAUGGAGAGGACUGGGGAGGAAGGAGUAACCUUCACAUCCUCCUGGGGCACCUGUCUCAAGUUUCAGUUUCUCCCCUGAAUUUGUGAUGGAAGGGGUGACGUUCCAGAUGAUUUUGUGCUCUUUGGUAGGUAUGUGGAGUGUCCUGAUAAUGUGUUAUUUGUGAAGUGAAAAACCAUAUGGCCAAGCUGGCAGAAAUGACAUCCUCUCAAGAGAAUACAGCUUCGCCCAGACUGGGCCUUGCAUAAAGGAUUCCCAGGCACUCAGUCUCUGUGGAGAGUGCUCCCGGGGCACGUCCUGGGCCCCAGGCCACCACCACCACCACCAUACGAAUAGCAGAGGCAACCCCAACUCCGUGCUAAGUACUGAUCAGAAAUGAGCUCAUCUGAUUACCCAUUAGUUAGGUUAUACGGUGUUUGCCUUUUACAGCAAGAUGACACUGGCUUGGAGAAGUUAAAUAAAUAAUUUUCCCCAAAAGUCCCAAAGUAAGAUUUGCUAGUCAUGAAGCCAGCCUUGAAUCCAGAUCCAGGCCGUGUCCUCCAUCAUUCAAUUACGACAUUUCAAGUGGAGACAUCAGGACCCUAAAUUGUGUUUCAGGAUAUCUUGGCAAGUUUUUAGAGAAGUUACAACCAAAAUUGCUGCUUGACCAAAAAAUUUCUGGAUAAAGCAUCCGUGCAUACCAUCUUGGCAAGUAUGUACUGAGACCCCAGUACUUCCCACAUUAAAUCUCAUAUGGUCUAUCAAUUUUCACGACACAGGCUGUCCGUUCUCUUGGCCAGCUACAAAUCGGAAACUCUUUUCUUCCUCUUACGAGCAGUCUUCCUCUUAGAAGAGCUUCCUGAGUAUUUUAAGUAAGAGCUUAAUCUUUUCUAGAAGGAACGUGGUGGUGGGUCCUCUGCAACCACACACCCUGUGGAAAGGGAAGAGAAACAAAUUAUUGACAGAAUAGAGAAAGGAGGGCCUCAAAUACUUUAAGUUCCUUCUCAGGCAAAAGGUCUUUGACCACCUGUUUUCUCUGGCCUUUUAAGGCAAAGCAAGGAUUGGUGACGAAAAACACCUGAUUGGCAGAUUUCAAAAUUUUUAAACAUAGUCUUUAUAAACUACUAGAGCAAUUGAAAAGUGGAAUGAGCCACCUCUGAAUGGAAUGGUUUCUUAUCCUUAGAAAGCUUGGUAUGUAUGAGCAGUGCUAAGGGAGGCUGCGAGUUAAGGACUGAACCAGGUCCCUUCGAAUCCUAAAAUUCCAAAAGAGCGUGUAUUUCUAAAAUACGUUUCCAAUGUUCAUCCAUUCAACAGCUCUUCUGAAGAUUUAUUUUAAGAAGAUGCAAGAAUUCAGUAACAGGGUUGCCUCUGGGGAAGAAUAUUAGUUAGCUGGGGGUCAGGGGUUGGAAGGAGGCCUAUUUUUCAACUGUCCUUUUAUACCUUUGCAAUUUUGUACUGUGAACAGUACCUAUUUCUGUAAGGUGAGGGUCAGUGACCUCAGUAGGCCUGCUGCUGAGGGGGUGGGGGGGGGGGGUAGUUCCUGGUUACAGACAUUCUUCCUUUCCUCAGCCAUUUAUUCUCUCCCUUUGAGUCAAGUUAUUUGCAUUUGACUCUGAGUUGAGAGCCAUCUCUGGCAGAGAGUAGGGAAGAAGCUGCUGCUUUUUUGGGGAUAAUAUGGCUAGCACAAAACUGCUGAGGCAUUCAUUUGUCAUUAGUAUUCUUAUUAGCAUUAUAUGUCAUUAGUAUUCUUCAUUAUCUCUAGGGUUGAGGGUUACGUAAUGCUUGAAAAGCAGGAUCACAUUUCUGAAUGCUAGUUUCUAGCAUUGUUGAGAUGUUUGUUAAUUACUUUGCAAAGGAUCUUGUAGGAAGCUUCUGGACACAGCACAAUGUUUUGCCCAUGUUAACGGUUCCAAAGUGAGAUUAAAUAAUUUUGUCCAA